rnacentral:lncRNA from 1 species
UUAGUUUAAACCGUGCGUGAAGCUACUUAACCACCUCUGUGGUAUACUACUUUAGUGUAUUUAUCACGAAUCGUCGCGCACACAAACAUUACUGAAGCUUUUUAUAUUAGUUCUUGGAGAGAAUAUAGUGGAGUGCUUUUGGUUGUACGACCGUGACGGGUCUAGUUGGAUCCGACCGGACCCCAUAGGCCCUGCCGCCCAAUCCAACAGAACACAGCAGACAGAGUAGUAGUAGUAGUUCCCAACAAAAAAAGAGUCG